GUGGGUAAAGUUUAUACAAGCUCCAGAUACUGGUCCACUGUUGAAAUACAUCGAAUAGAAAACUUUCAAGAUGGUUGCCAAAAUGAAAGUAGGAAUCUCUCUGCUGCUUAUUUGAAUGUUAAUCCUUGGAUUAUCAGCCACAGACGACUACAAAGAGCCACCCCUUAUUGGCAAUGAAAAGACUAAAGUCUUACGUCGUGUAAAAAGAGGUGGGUGGCAAUGUGAUUGCAGACCACCAUCCCCGGACCCGGGACCUGUAUGGGUGAGAAAGAGACGGUGAGAAAGAGACGAUGAAAACUUUUGAGGAAUUCGCUUUCUGAUCGCUGCAGUAGGACGGAGUGGUGAACGGUUUCCUUUGUGCUAUCUUUAUGAACUUUUAACUGUUCAGUGUUUUCUGUUUUUGGGCCUUAAAUAAACAUGAUAAUUUAUAUUAAAUAAAUAAAUAAAUAAAUAAAUUGCUUAUUGAAUAAAUAAA